AGACCAGUGACGCAGUGGUUAGCGUUCCGUUCUUAUAUGUUUCCCUCGGGAGUCAUGUGACUUGAUCCAUCAGUCAUGCGGUGGUCGUGGGUUCGAAUCCCACUUGGUCUA